rnacentral:rRNA from 1 species
UGCGCAGGCGGUUUCUUAAGUCAGAUGUGAAAUCCCCGGGCUUAACCUGGGAACUGCGUUUGAAACUGGGAGACUCGAGUAUGUCAGAGGGGGGUGGAAUUCCACGUGUAGCAGUGAAAUGCGUAGAGAUGUGGAGGAACACCGAUGGCGAAGGCAGCCCCCUGGGAUAAUACUGACGCUCAUGCACGAAAGCGUGGGGAGCAAACAGGAUUAGAUACCCUGGUAGUCCACGCCCUAAACUAUGUCAACUGGUUGUUGGGGAACUUGAUUCCUUAGUAACGAAGCUAACGCGUGAAGUUGACCGCCUGGGGAGUACGGCCGCAAGGUUAAA